AUUGAACGCUGGCGGCAGGCCUAACACAUGCAAGUCGAGCGACCGGCGGGCGGGUGAGUCAUGUAUGGGGACUGCCCGAUAGAGGGGGAUAACUGCUGGAAACGGUGGUUAAUCCCGCGUCCAGUCGGAUAACCCAUAUGGGAUUAGCUAGUAGGUAAGGUAAUGGCUUACCUAGGCGACGGUCACUAGCUGGUCUGAGAGGAUGAUCAGCCACACUGGGACUGAGACACGGCCCAGACUCCUACGGAGGCAGCAGUGGGGAAUAUUGCACAAUGGGCGCAAGCCUGAUGCAGCCAUGCCGCGUGUAUGAAGAAGGCCCUAGGGUUGUAAAGUACUUUCAGUCGGGAGGCGUUACCGACAGAAGAAGCACCGGCUAACUCCGUGCCAGCCGCCGCGGUAAUUC
rnacentral:rRNA from 1 species